UACGGAGGGUGCGAGCGUUAUCCGGAUUCACUGGGUUUAAAGGGUGCGUAGGUGGGCAGGUAAGUCAGUGGUGAAAUCUCCGGGCUUAACCCGGAAACUGCCAUUGAUACUAUCAGUCUUGAAUACCAUGGAGGUGAGCGGAAUAUGUCAUGUAGCGGUGAAAUGCUUAGAUAUGACAUAGAACACCAAUUGCGAAGGCAGCUCGCUACGCGGUUAUUGACACUGAGGCACGAAAGCGUGGGGAUCAAACAGG
rnacentral:rRNA from 1 species